GAAAAAAACUCACAGAGAAAAACUCUGACGCGAAAAUCCCAUAAAGCGAAAAUGGAUCUGCUCAUUGAAGUUGAUUUGCAAGUUCAAAAUGAAAUCACAACUGAAGUGGAGCUGAUCAAAAAGCGAUACACAGUUUGAGAUCUGAUAAUUCACUUUUUGUUUUGUUUAUCUUUUCAAAAUUUUCUUUUCUGGAGAUUUUGAUGUUCUUCAGGGUUUUUUCCGACGAGAAAUGUCCCUGGAUUUCCCAGAGAUGUGCUGCAGGCGAUGCUGUGUUCGUAAGUAGGAUCCUUCGUGAUUCAUUCAUAAUGAGUCAUGUCUACAUUGCUGAUCCCGAGGAUGAGGAGAAUGCUUGGAGUCGACAGCGAAGAUAAAUAUAGGAGAAACAAAGAUAUGAGGAUUCAACAUGAGGUUAAGAUACAUAUGUACAUCAUCAACCAUGUACACACACGACCUUCUAUCUGAAAGAAGAAUAUGAUUCAAGUCCUUGGCCACAUCAGACUUAGUCAACUCAAGUGUUAUCUUCCCUUCUUUUAUUAUUAAUAGGUGCAUGGUCCCCCCGCAAGCGCGGGGUCGGCUACAUUAUAGGUGCAUUGUAUAGUUUUGUUUACGAAAUUUUAUUGUUUGUUUGUUUUUUUGUCUAUAAUGUGAUGGAUGGGACUUUGGAAAUUACAUAGG